rnacentral:lncRNA from 1 species
UGCUCAGUCCUAAACAUGAUAAUUAAAAAAAUUCAGCUGCAGCAAUGAUAAUUGUUCGAGGCAAAGCAACAUGUAUCUAGAGUGAGGCUAUUUGAUUUACAACUUAAUUUCUGUUCUCCUUUGUCCUACUGCAUGUUUAUAUGUAUGCCUAAGGAAAGAAUUCAGGAGGAUUAGCCCUGGUGUGUGGUAUGCUGGGAUGCUUCGAGUACGGAAAACACUCUCGGGGGAAACGGUUGGAUGCCUAGUUGAGGUAUUGAGGAGGUAAUGGUUAGAGUCGGGAAUAGGAGUGAAAUUCUACACCAAAUAAGGUGAUCUGUUGGACUCCCUUUCUCCUCCUUUAAGGUGAUUUGUCUAGGUUUGUAACAUAGAACAAAUUCUUUUUGAAGCAAAGAAAAUCAUAUGAGGUGUUUACCCCUUUAUGAUUAGGAAAACUAGCGAACUACUUCCUCCAAACAGCCUUUUUCUUUUCUGCUUUUCCAAAAGUAUAAUCAAGCCUUGCAAUUAUUUGGUUUUGCAUUACAAAUGCUUUUCGGUCAACCACCCGGUGUUCAUAAGCCAAGAUGCUAAAGCUGGUAGUGCUCAUAAGCCN